CUGGCUCAGAACGAACGCUGGCGGCGCGUCUUAAGCAUGCAAGUCGAACGGCAAGAGGUAGCAAUACCUCCUAGAGUGGCGGACUGGUGAGUAACACGUGGGUGACAUACCCUUCAGAUGGGGAUAGCUAUUAGAAAUAGUAGAUAAUACCGAAUACGAGCACAGGGGUUAGAGAUCUGUGAGGAAAGGAGCUAAGGCUCCGCUGAAGGAAUGGCCUGCGGCCCAUUAGCUAGUUGGUGAGGUAAGAGCCCACCAAGGCGAUGAUGGGUAUCCGGCCUUAGAGGGUGAACGGACACAUUGGGACUGAGAUACGGCCCAGACUCCUACGGGAGGCAGCAGCUAAGAAUAUUCCGCAAUGGACGAAAGUCUGACGGAGCGACGCCGCGUGGAUGAAAGAAGGCCGGAAGGUUGUAAAAUCCUUUUGAAGCUGAAGAAUAAGCGUUGUAGGGAAUGACAGCGUGGUGACAGUAGGUUUUGAAUAAGCAACGGCUAAUUACGUGCCAGCAGCAGC
rnacentral:rRNA from 1 species